rnacentral:rRNA from 1 species
GGAGGAGGCAAGCGUUAUCCGGAAUUAUUGGGCGUAAAGAGUCCGUAGGUGGUUUAUCAAGUCUGGGGUCAAAGACCGGAGCUUAACUCCGGAACGGCCGUGGAAACUGAGAGACUAGAGACCGGUAGGGGUAGAGGGAAUUCCCAGUGUAGCGGUGAAAUGCGUAGAUAUCGGGAGGAACAUCAGCGGCGAAGGCGGCUUCCUGGACUAAUACUGACACUGAGGCGCGAAAGCGUGGGGAGCAAACAGGAUUAGAUACCCUGGGUAGUCCACGCCGUAAACGAUGAUCACUAGAUGUUGGUUCUGCUUAGCGAAAUCAGUGUCAGAGCUAACGCGUUAAGUGAUCCGCCUGGGGAUACGGUCGCAAGAUUA